ACCUAACUGGCUCAGUCAGGAGAGCAUUUGACUCUUGAUCUUGGGGUUGUGAGUUCAAGCCCUAUGUUGGGCA
rnacentral:tRNA from 1 species